rnacentral:lncRNA from 1 species
CCUGCUACAUUCAUUUUUUUUAGAAAUAAAACUUAGCUGAAAAUAUGAAGCAGUUAGGCUUUAAACUUCGAACCUCUAGUACCAACUCUUUGUCACUUGCACUAGAAACAGUCGGUAUUAAAUAAUUUGGCCUCUAAACUUUAUUAAAUAGUUUAGUAGGCCUCUUCACUUCGGCAAAAUUAUGAAUGAAAUAGCCUUUUUGAUCUUAUAUCUUUCAAGUAAUUUUGUAUAAUUUUAUAACACAAAAAAAAAAUUUCUCUUAUAGUUUGAUAAUUAAUUAGGCAUCAAGAUUAAAGAAUAGGAUAAAUUGAUAGAUUUAUUUUUAUUUUUUGUUAAUUUUUCAUGUGUUAUAACAUAAAAAUGGACUUUUUUUGGGGGGGCAUUUUAAAACAUUAUAAGAUUAUCCCCAAUACAAGCGAACAAAACGUUAGAAUUAUAAUUAUCACACAAUUUUUAUUUAUUUUAUGGUUAAAAUACAACAUACUCUCAUGUAAAUACUUAAUUUUUUUAUUUUUUUCGACUUUUAAAAAUCUAUAUUUUACUCCCUUAAAAUUUCAAAUUAAUGCAUUUAGCCUCCGUUAGGGUUUCGUUAUUUAUAAUUCAUAUCGGAAAUACUACUAAAAAAAUAUAUAUAUAUUAAAAUUUUAUUUUUGUCUAAUAAAAUAAUUAAAGAUAAUUUUAACGUCGUAAUCUAUGAAAAUAAUUUUAAAAUUUUAAAAAAUAAAAUAUAGAUUUUUAAAAAUUAUGAGAAAAAAUAAAAAAAAUAGAUAUUUAUAUGAGAGUUUUUUAUCUUUAGCCUUUUUAUUAAAAGUUUUUAUACUAACACAUAAAAGGACAAAAAUAAAAUUUUAAUNUUAAAAGUUUUUAUACUAACACAUAAAAGGACAAAAAAAAGUAUUAUAGCAGUAAGCUUUUUAUUAAUAUUAUUAUUAUGUGUUAAUUUGCAAUAAAAUCAAUUACAGUGUUUUAGGUGAAAACUUUUUAAAAUGACUAUUUUGCCCUCCAUCAUUCUUAGGUUACUUAUUUAUCCACGCAACCAACCAUUAAUUACGAAAAUGCCCCUUCCCCACCGCUUUAACUAUACUGCUGGGCCCACCACCAUCACGAACCGCUAAUCUACAAUCCAACGGAUCACAAUCACCCAAGAAACCCUAGCAAUUAACCCAAUAAAAUACCCAAAAUACCCUUUCUCACUUGAAGUGGAUUACAUUUCUUUGUAUCACAAAAAUAUGCUCUAGUGGAGCCUCUGCAUAGGCAGGAUCAAUCCCUCGUCACGUGUUAUUUUUAUAUUUAUUUAAAAAUUUUAAUUUUUUAAAUUUAAAUCUUUUAAAAAAAUUGAAUACUAAAAUAUGUUAAAGAAAUUAUUAGAUGGAGGUAAAAUUAACACAUGACAGCGAAUCGAAGGCUCAACUGAAAUUUUAUCCUUGUUUGGGUUGUAGAAAAAUGUGAUUUUUUUCCCAAAAAGAAGGUUUUUUUUUUUCAGUUUUUCGUAAGUUUAGUUAAAAAAAAAUUAGUUUUCUCGUAAAAUUUUUAAAUCAAAUUAUAUGAAAAACUAAUAUUUUUAUUUUUCAAAAUAAUUUGUCAAACAGAAAACUGAUUUUUCAUGAAAUUUGGCAACAAACUUUCCAGAAAGCUAGCUUUUUUUCGGCAUGUUUGGUUGGCCGAAAGUGAGGCAUCAAAAGUGACAUUUUGGAAAGGUGACAUUUUAUCAAUUAUUUGAUUUGCGAAAGUGAAAAUAAAAAUUAUUUUACAAAAAUAGACUGAUAACUAAAUCUCACUUUUUUUCGAAAAAAAAAAAUCAUAUUUUUUUGGAGGAACCAAACAUUUUUGUUUGUUUUCUAGAAAAAGUAUAAAAAGAAUUUCUCUAAGGAAAAGUGUUUUUUUGGACUCCUCCAUUUGGUUGUAAGAAAAAUUAAUUUCUCAGAAAUUUUUUUUUCAAGAUUUUAUGAAAAAAAUAUUAUUUUCAUUUCCUAAUUUUUUGAAAAUAAAAAUACUAGUUUUUUGUGAAAUCUGAAAAAAGUUUUUUUUAAAAAAACUAGUUUUUUUUUUUUAACCAAAACGGGUGAAAGAAAACUAAAAAAAAAAGUUUUUCACUAACAUAUUUUUUAGAAAACGUUUUACUAUGCUCUUUCUAAUAGCCAAAUUGUAUAAGCAUUUACCUAGACGAACACAACAAUUAUUAUAUAAAUUGUAUACAACUUAAUACACAAGUUGUCACGUCUCGAAUUAUAGCCGAAGCUUUUUGAGCACGCUAACAGAUCCGCCCGCAUGCAAGGGAACACCAAGCACAUAAAAAGUGUAACACGACCUACAAAAGAAUCUCAUCCAAAUAUGAUUAUAAAUAAGAAAAACAUGUAGGUAGUUGUACCAGAACCAAAAUGUAAAUAUGUUAUCACAACUACGAUUAUAUUUACAAGUCUCCAACCGAAAACAUCAUUUACAUUCACUUUCUAUAUACAACUAACAAGUCCAACAUCAAAAGGGGCCUCCGAUAGAGCUCGUCCAGGAGGAGAAAGACUAUCUACCUCGAAAUUCCUUUACCAUGAUCGAUCACCAGCUGACGUACAUGACUCUGCAAAAAAAAUAAUGAUAGAAGGAUGUGAAAUAAACCAUUGAAAAAUAGUUUUUAAUGGAUACAGUCACAGAUAGCGACGACUUACGUCACUAGGUCUAUUCAAAGCAUCAAUAGUAUAAGCUAAAAAAAGAAGUAUGUGAUAAGUAAAUAUAGCGAGUUUUCAAAUAUUGUACUAUCUGAUAAGAAGGAUUAGAGAUAAAUCUCCACACUAAUUUUCAUUCAUAGUUUAUGGUACAUAUAUACAGGUGUGAUGACUAUGUUUGUUACAUUCAAAACUGAAUAACAAAUCAUCAAAAACUGAAUAACAAUUCAAUGGAGUUGGUUGAGAUAUUUUCUCAAAAUAAGUUUGUCCUUAUCCAUUAUCUUUAACACCCUCCUGCAAGCUGAUCGGCAUAGGAAUGACGGUAAGCUUGGAACGUAGCAUUUUGAACNACUUAGACACUAGUAAUAAUAACUGGGCUUAAGCAUUUUGGGCCGGUGGUUGGGCCCAACGAGUUAUUAUUGCUAGUGGGCUGGGUCGUUACACCAAGUUCGGUUCGUGCCUUCUAGAUUAUAGCCGAAAUCUUUGCUUCUGCAGAUUGAUCAAAAAUUUCUUCUCUAUAGUGCUCUGUGAGUUAUUUUAUUUUAUUUUGAUCCUAAAUUUUGGUAUUAUUUGAUUUUUUUUUCUUACUUUACAUACCUAUCACCUAGUUCUAACUUCCAGAAAAUCUGAUACUAAUUAUAGCUCAUGAUAGCCAUUCGGAAAUUGAUAGUCAAGUAGCUGAUUGAAAUAUACUGAAAGUUCAUAUACGAUUUUAUUUUAUUAUUUAUUCAGAUAAAAGCUUUAAAAGUUUGCUAGUGAGUGUAAUUGGACCAAAGUUCAAGAGUUCGAUAUAAUUUUCCCACAAAUCAAUUCAUCAUAUCAUAACAUUUUUGGAGAGCCUGUAUGGCUCUCCUAUUUUGAAGAAAAAGUUGCUCUCCUUGGUCAAAAUUUCAUUUCUCUAAGCGCAAACACAGGGAACAAUGUUAAGAAGGAUUAGAGAUAAAUCUCCACACUGAUUUUCAUUCAUAGUUUAUGGUACAUAUAUACAGGUGUGAUGACUAUGUUUGUUACAUUCAAAACUGAAUAACAAAUCAUCAAAAACUGAAUAACAAUUCAAUAGAGUUGGUUGAGAUAUUUUUUCAAAACAGGUAGAAUAGGUUUGUCCUUAUCCAUUAUCUUUAACACCCUCCUGCAAGCUGAUUGGCAUAGGAAUGACGGUAAGCUUGGAACGUAGCAUUUUGAACUUUGGUGAAGAUAUGCCUUUAGUCAUGACAUCUGCAAUUUGAGAUUCACUCGGGAUGAAGAGAACUCGUAAUUUUCGUUGGCGAACCAUGUCACGAACAAAGUGAACAUCAAUCUCAAUAUGUUUGGUACGACAAUGAAAGACUGGAUUAGCAGUUAAAUAGGUCGCACUAAUAUUGUCGCAAUAUAGUACCGGAGAAUUGUUGGAGGAUAUUUCUAAAUCUGAUAGAAGAUAUUGAAGCCAUUGGAUUUCAGCCGCAGCAUUUGCAAUACCACGAUAUUCAGCUUCCGUGCUUGAUCGUGAAACAGUUUUCUGUUUCUUAGCAGACCAUGAUACAAGAUUAGAGCCAAUAUAUAUAGCAUAACCAGAUGUCGAGCGACGAUCAUCAGGACAACCUGCCCAGUCAGCAUCUGAAUAACAAGAGAUAUCGAAGGAAUAAUUCUUCGUAAUGUGAAUUCCAUAAUCAAGAGUGCCUUUUAGGUAGCGCAAAAUUCUUUUGACAGUAUUAAAAUGCGAAGUGCGAGGUGCAUGCAUGAAUUGACACACCUGAUUGACUGCAUAAGUAAGGUCAGGUCGCGUAAAGGUUAAAUAUUGUAAGCCUCCAACUAUACGUCUAUAUUCAGUAGCAUCAGGUAGUAGAUCACCAUCAAAUAGAGAUAAUUUCGAUCCAGGAGCAAUUGGAGAGGAAAUUGGUUUACAUCCAUCCAUAUGGCAUUUACGGAGCAGACUAAGAGAAUAUUUUGUUUGAUUCAAAAAUAACCCCUUACGGUCCAACAUGGCAUGUAUUCCAAGGAAGUAAUUCAAGGUUCCUAAAUUUUUCAUAUCAAAGCGAACUUGUAAAUCUGUAAGAAGAUUGGCCAAUAAUGUCGCAUUACUUCCGGUGACAAUAAUAUCAUCCACGUAAACAAGUAAUAUGAGAAUGCCUGAAUUCAAUUUCUUAAUAAAUAAAGAGGAAUCUGCAGUGCUAGAAUGAAAACCCAAGUGAAGGAGAUAGCCGCUGAAGCUUUGAAACCAAGCUCGUGGAGCUUGCUUAAGACCAUAUAUUGCUUUGCGCAACCGACAUACGUGUGAAGGGUAUAAGGGAUCAACAAAUCCUGGAGGUUGUAACAUAUAUACCUCCUCAUUUAAUGUGCCAUGCAAAAAGGCAUUUUUAACAUCUAAUUGCAUAAUUGGCCAUUCUUUGGAGAGUGCAAGCGAAAGGACGAUACGAAUAGUUUGCAGUUUAACUACUAGACUAAAUGUAUCAUCGUAAUCAAGUCCUUCUUGUUGAUGAAAUCCUUUAGCAACCAAACGAGCUUUGAAGCGUUCAACACUGCCAUCAGAUUUUUGUUUAACCUUAUACACCCACUUGCAACCAAUAAUAUUGCAAUUUGACGGUGGAGGAACAAGUGACCAUGUCUGAUUCUUGAGUAAAGCAUUGAAUUCUUCUGCCAUAGCAUGGCGCCAUUGAGGAUCUUUAGAGGCUUCAGAAUAUGAUGUAGGUUCAGAAGGAAGCUCAUCAUUAGUAAUUUGCAAGCAAUAUUGGGGCACUGGGUGUCGAGAGGUAUGAAAAACCUUUGGUUUGCGUGUACCAUCUUUGCUGCAUGUUAUCAUGGGAUGACAUGUUCUUGUGGAGGUGUCAACAGGAUUUGUAGAAGGGACAGAUUCAACAUCUAAACUUGUGGGCUCUGGUAGAUUGGAUUGGGGAAGGCUUAUAGAAUCAAGAAUAGUAUCGGAUGGUUGAAUGUUUUGUGGAGAAGAAGUUAAUAGAGAUGGUGGACAAAUAGGAAAUGAGUACCUCUGUUGUUUGGGAAUGGAAUCAGGUGAUGUAGAAAUGGAUUUGGAAGACAACUCUGCAUAGGGAAAUCGUGACUCAUCAAAAUGAACAUGACGGGAUAUAAAGACGCGUCCAUCGGAUAAACUUAAGCAUCUAUAACCUUUAUGAUGAGGACUAUAUCCUAUGAAAACACAACAAGUAGACCUCGGAGUAAAUUUAUUCAAAGAAUAGCUGCGUAAAUAAGGAUAGCAAGCACAUCCAAAAACACGUAGGUGAUGAUAAUUUGGAGAAGUACAAAAUAGAGUUUCAAGAGGGGAUAGGUUUUGUAAGCAAGGUGUAGGUAAUCGAUUUAUUAGAUACACACUUGUUAAAAGGGCAUCAACCCAUAAAGUAGAUGGCGCUUGGGACUGAUAUAGAAGUGUCAAACCCAUUUCAGUUAUAUGGCGAUGUUUUCUUUCGGAAACACCGUUUUGUUCAGGCGUAUGGGGGCAUGAGAGUUGGCGAAUAAUUCCGCAAUUUUCAAGGUGUGUAACAAAUGUUUUAGAAAUAUACUCGCCACCACCAUCACUUUGCAAAAUUUUAAUUUUGGUGUUAAAUUGAUUUUCUACCAUUUUUUGAAAUUUAAGAAAGCAUGAAAAAACUUCAGAUUUAUUAUGCAUAGGAUAAAACCAAACAAAUCUACUAUAGCUAUCAAUGAAAAUUACAUAAAAUCGAUAGCCAGUGAUUGAAGGAACAGGAGAUGGACCCCAAACAUCAGUAGAAAUAAUUUCAAGAGGAGCAGAGGCCCUUUUAUUUAAAACUGGAAAAGGCAACUUAGUUUGCUUACUAGAAUAGCAACUAUCACAUAAAGAUUUGGAAUCGAACAUACUAGAGAAUUUUAUUGCAGCAUUCUUGUUUAAAUGAUUUGCCACUUGUUGUGAAGGAUGGCCCAGUCGUUGAUGCCAAAUAUUUGGAGAAGCCCUCUUUGUAGAAAGAAAAAUAGCUUUUGGAGAAUUGAGAGAAUAAAGACCAUUAUGAUGAGAUUCCUGUAGCAGAGUCAUUUUGUUUUCCUGAUCCUUAACAAAACAAGCAGAGGGGGUGAACUCAAGAGAACAAUUAUUUUCGCGAGUAAACUUGCUAACAGAGAGAAGGUUCUUUUUAAUAGAUGGUACUAGAUAAAUAUUUUUGAGGUGCAAAGGUGUAGAAGAGGUUGGAAGUUGAGAAUGGCCAAUGUGGGUAAUUUUUAAUUGUCGAAGAGCUCAUAUUGUAGUAGAGAGAAAAUGAAAUCUGGGUGUGAUGAAACAAUACUAGGCACUCUUAAUAGGUUAGAGAAGUGGAUAUGGCUCUGAUACCAUGAUAAGAAGGAUUAGAGAUAAAUCUCCACACUAAUUUUCAUUCAUAGUUUAUGGUACAUAUAUACAGGUGUGAUGACUAUGUUUGUUACAUUCAAAACUGAAUAACAAAUCAUCAAAAACUGAAUAACAAUUCAAUGGAGUUGGUUGAGAUAUUUUCUCAAAAUAAGUUUGUCCUUAUCCAUUAUCUUUAACACUAUCAUCAUGCUUCUGUACAAAUGAAAGCACUAAACAUAGGGAUACAUGUGUCACUAUGCCUCAAAUGAAAUAAGUGAUAACAAACAAUAAACUAAGACUAAUAAGUUGAGUUGGAUGAGUCUAAUAAGUUGAAUGGAUGUGUGGUCUACAAGAGACCUAACAGCAAGAGGCCCAACAAUAAACCCAAUAUUUCAGGUGGGUUGAAUCAGAUCGAAGCCCUGAAACUCACGAGCGCUGUGGUUGAGCUAGCCCUUAAGUGUGAUGGAUGCGUCAUUCCUAUCAGCACGUGUUUUUAGGAUAAUUAGUUAGCGCUUCAAGUAUCUCAGUUUAUGUACUCAAAUAUUAAAUUAAAUAUUCAAACAUACAAAAGAAAGAUUCAUAUAAUACACUCAAUUAUAUUAUAUUUAAAAAGAAAAACUUCAAAAGCCCCCUUAUGAUUUCGUAGUUUCUCACUUUGCCCCCAUAUGGUUUAAAAUGUAUCAAUUUGCCCCUCUGUGGUUUCUUUUUUCUCUUUUUCUUAUCAAUUUUAUUAUUUUUUUUCUUAAAUCAGUGAUAAAGUUAAAAUUAAAGGGUACUAAAGUAAAUAUUUGAUAAAUUUUGAUGGGUAUCUGAAGUUUUUUGUAUAUAAUUUAAUGAAAUAUUAACGAAAAAUCUACCGAAAAGAUAAAAACGAAACCAUAGGGAGGCAAUUUGAUACAUUUUAAACCACAGAGGGGCAAAGUGAGAAACUACGAAACCACAGAGAGGGUUUUUGAAAUUUUCCCUAUUUAUAAAUAAAUAUAUCUAUAGCUAGUCAGAGGCCACUAUAUAUUAAAUAAAAUGACUAUUUGUUCUCACUCUCGUCAUCCUAUAUUAAAUUAUUGAUCGAGAAUAUUAUGAAAAAAAAAAGAUUAAUUAUGUCAUAUUAAUUUGGUCACAAAAAAUAAUUAAUACUUGAUUUUGACACUUUUGUUGGCAUCACACUCUUUUAGGGCUAGCGUUGCUCUAAUAUAUUCUUAUUAUUUUUGUAACAUUCACAUAAAUAGUUAUUUUAGUAUAAUUAUAGUGCUCUAAUAAUUUUACAUCGGAUGAAAAUAAAAUUAUGAUUGAAAAUAUAAAAAAUUAUAAAUUCUAAUAACAAUAAUAAUAAUUGGAUUUAAGUAUUUUAAGCAAGGGUUAAUUUUAUACAGCUCCCUAUAAACAUAUCGAACAGCAAAUAUAUUCCUAUAAAAUUUAACUUUUCAUAUUUAUCCUUAUAAAAAUUUAUUGAUAUUUAUAUUUGCCCGUCUAAUUUGUUACCGUUAGAGUACUGUUUAUUUUUUAAUAUUUUUUUAACAGAAGAUAAGUGAAAUAACAUUUUUACUAUUAUAAAUAUGUCCCUUCAAAAAGCCCAAAUUGUUAGAAUUAUGAAGAAAUGCUUUUAAUAAAUUUUCAACGGCCAUUUCUUUCUUUCUACCAACACAAAUAAUAUAAGAUGGAUAAAAAUAUCAAUUUACCUCAUUUAUUAAUUAGGAUUAAAUAUUUUACCUAUGAUAUUUUAACUAUAUUUUCCUAACGGAUCCUAACAGCAGUGUCAUAUUUCAAAAUAUAGGAUUUUUGUAGGAGUAAAUAUAAAAAAUUGAACAAUAAAGGAAUAUAUCUGUUAUUCGAUAUGUUUACAGGAAGCCGCACGCAAUUAACCCUUUGAGGCAAUGAUUUGAGCUCAAUAAAUUAUUAUUGCUAGUAAAUCGAAUAAAAAUACAGGUACAAGUCAGAUAAAAAAAUAAAAUUUAAAUCCAUAAAUUACAUGCUCUACCUAUAAAAAUCGCACAACUAUAUUUCUAUUACUGUAAUUAUCAAGAUUUAAUGAACUUGUCCACCAAUUUUAAAAGGCAUUCAUACGGAGUGGUUGGUUUUUUAGAAAAGUAUGAAAAACUAUAUAUUUUUUUUUUUUGAGAAAAACAGUUUUCAAAAGAAACACUUAUUUUCAAUAAUUUAAAUAUUUUAGAUAAAAAUUUUAGAUCAAAAUUUUAAAUACCAUUCCUGUAGUUUCAUGUUUUCUCAUUUUAGUAUUUUGUAGUUGAAAAUGUACUACUUUAGUACCUGUCGUUUCGUUUUCUCUUUUUAUUAUCCCCUCUGUUAAUUCUUUCGUUAAAUCAAUGGCAAAGUUAAAACCACGUGAUACUAAAGUGAAAAUUCAGUAAACAAUAGAAUAUUAACGUGAAUAUUUGAUAAACUAUAGGUGGAGUAUCUGAAGUUUUUUGUGUAUUAUUUAAUAGAGAACUAACGGAGGUGCUGACAGAAAGAGAAAAAUGAAACUAUAAGGUACGAAAUUGACAUAUUUUAAACUAUAAAGUGCUUAAAUAGAAAAGCACGAAACCAUAAGGGGUUGUAUUUGAAGUUUAUCUUAAAUUUUUAUUUAAAAUUUAAACACAAGAAAAAAAUACACACAAUUUGUGCGAAUGGCAAUCUAGCAAUUAUCUCGAACUCCAAGGGCAAAAUCUCAGUAAACCCCCAAUUAUAUAUCUAUCCAUUCCCCUUCUCCCUCUCUCUCUCUCCAUUUCCUCUCCCUUCGAAUCCCCCAAAUUCUCUCUCUCUCUCUCUCUUCUCUCGAGGAUCCGGCGAUCGCCGUUCUCCGUACGCCGUUAUAACGGCGUUGCGCGUCGGAUCUCCACCGCCCUCCGUUAGAUAACGGCGAGCCCACCCCCCGCUUUUACCAUUUUACCCCCGCAUCUUUUGCCCUUUGCCAUUUCCCUUCUCUUUUUUAAACUUUAUUUUUACUCGGCGAUUUCGCGAUGUCGGGCGAGGCGACACGUGGCGCGGGGCGGAAGCGGAAGGACCCGGACCGGGGCGAGCCCGAACCCGAAAAGGGCUUCGGUUCGGGUUCGGGUUCGGGUUCGGGUUCGGAUUCGGGUUCGGAUCAGGUGCGGAGCGGGAACAAGCUCCUGGCCGGGUACCUGGCCCACGAGUUCCUCACGGAGGGCACGCUCUUCGGGCGGCGGGUCGAGCCGGAGCGGGCCGGGCCGGGGAAGUGGAAGGGGCCCGACCCGGUUCGGGGCGAUGGCCCGGUUCGGGCGUAUGCGGACGUGGCGUUCUUGUUGAAAGCGGAUGGCGAGGUCCACGUGGCGGGCGUUGUGAACCCCACGCAGCUCGGGCGCUGGAUCCGGAUGUGACGGGUCGGACGUUCACCGGUACAACUCACCCGUCAAAGUACGACACGUGGCGUGUAUCUUUAGCUUCUUUCUUUCUUUCUUUUUUCUUGUUUUUUUUUUCGGGUGAAGAUGCUCUAUUUUAUAUCGAAAAACGAAGGGUGCGAUGCUUUUGAUCUUCGUCGCGUACGUGAAUCUCGAGGUGAUGAGUCAUCCUACUACAAGAAACUCAAUCCACACCUAUGUAAGUUUCAAAAUUUUGAAUUUUACUCUAGUUAACUUAAACUUCUAAAUAACUUUUAAACUUCAAAAAUUUAAACACGUUGUAUAUUUUUACAAAUUUAAUCAGUAUAUUUUAUAUAAUUUAUAUAUUUAGUUUAGGUUUUUAUAAGAAAACGCAUGUUGAAAUUUAUAUAUAUUCAGGGGGAAACAAAAUUGUAGAGAAAUUAGGAUCUAUGUGUUAGGAAUAAUAGUUGCAUAUUAAGGACAAAAUGAAACUUUAAAUUAUUUGUACAUAAUUUGGAGAGUAUUCUAAUAACUUAAGCUUUAAAGAGAAACAAUUGUUUUAAACUAUGUGGUAUCAAAAUCCAAUUCACACUUUUUUUUUUUCUUUUUCUUUUUUGACAGUCCCAGUGGCUGUUACGUGGUCGUGUGAUUGCAUUGGGUCAAUAGCAAAUGCAAGUAGUUUCUAACAUAGUUAGUUAAUUCUGAAUCUCUGAUUCGACAAAAAUUCGGUACGGAUAUAAUACGCAUAAAAUUUAUUUUCUAAUUUUUAAAUUCGUUGAAAACUUUGGCUUAAAAAACGGAUUCGGUAUAAAAUAUAAAAUAUAAAAUAUAAAAUAUAAGAUAAUAUAUAUUUUAAAAUAAAAAUUAUAAGUUUUUUAUUUAUAUUUUCAAUAAUUCGCGAAUUAUUCGGCUAGACCAAAAAUUCGCGAAUAAUUCUCUUUCUUUAAAAAAAAAUUCGUAAACAGACCGUUUAAUUCAGAUUUUCAAUAAUUCACGAAUAAUUCGCGAAUUAAAUAACUAGGAUCAGAAUCCAAUUCAUUAUAGGAAUUAACAUCAUUAAUUCUCAUCACAAAGAGAGAGAGUGAGAGGACGAACAAUACCAACAAUUACUACUUGGAACUUCCUCCAGGGUGUGUUUGGUUCGCGAUUGAAAUUAAAAUCGAAAUAAAUUCAGAUCGUACUGAGCUAGUACCGUGCCACUUUAAAAACCGAAAUCGAAAAGAUCUCUCUCUCUCUCUCACAAAUCAUAAUCCUUUUCGAAUUUAGGAACGAAAACAAGCGCGACAACAACGAAAACAAUUUCGAUUCAGAUGUAAGAAUGACAGGUUCAGUAAACUGGUUCAAUCUUUCGCGUCGACGACGGCGCGCUUGAUAGUCUCUGCACUGUUCUUGAUGGGGUCCUUCACUUCUUCGACCUUUUCGGCCACCGUAUCCUUCACCUUGUGGAAGGUCUCCUUUGCCGCCCCCCAGGCGCCCUGCGCCGUCGCCUUCGCGCUUCCUCCGCUGUUCUGCGCCGCCCCGAUCGCCUUUCCUGCUGCCUCUAUUGUUUUCUCGAUAACCUGACAUUCAAACAUGGAUGUAUACUUAGUGAUCAACAACAUUUGUUUCACAUUCCAUGUCAUUUUUGUUGAAAAUAAGGUUGUUAUGCAGUUUCAAGUUGUUAUGCAGUUUCAGCAUAUAUUUCUCCUAUUCCUUUGUAACUAUUCCUUCCAGUUGUAUCUCCUAUAAUUGUGGAGAUAAUAAUGAUAGGAAUUUUAUGUAUAUAUAUCUUGUAUGUUAUCAAUAGAAGGAUGAAUGGGAAUUAUUCUAGAAACCUUUUUAAUAUGGUAUCAGAGCCAACUCUGAUUACCUCUCUGUUACCCUAGGAAUCAGAGUUUGGUUUCUUUCUAAUGACUACUCCAGAUAAUAGUAGUCCUAAACCUAUGAAGGAGGAGGCUCCUGCUAUGUCUACUCUUCAUAUGCAGGAGUUGUCCUCAUCACUUACCCCUGAACGUCUUGAUGGUACCAACUACAUCGAAUGGUCCUUAAAUGCAGAGAAUAAAAUCAGAGGCAGAAAACGUUGGGGCUUCAUUUCUGGAAAAAAGUUUGCACCAGAAGAUAAAGAUUCUGAAGAUUAUGAAACCUGGGAGGAUGAAAACUGCAUGGUCAAGUCUUGGCUUUUGGAUGCUAUGAAUAAAGAUAUUAGAUCACUUUUCAUCCGCUUACCGACAGCCAAGGAGAUCUGGGACACUGCAAAGAAAACAUACUCGGUAAGUCAAGAUGCAUCCAGAGCAUAUCAAUUAUAUUGUGAGAUAACCUCUGUUCGUCAGAAUGGAGGAUCCGUUAUCUCUUAUUUUGGAAAACUUCAAAGGCUUUGGCAGGAACUUGAUGCUAUUGAAAACUGCACAAUGGAAUGCUCGAAGGAUAUUGAAAAGUACACCACUAAGGUGAACUCUCAACGUGUGUAUGUUUUCUUGGCUGGACUUGAUUCUCAUCUGGAUGGAGUUCGUGGCCGAAUCCUUGCCACUAUUCCUCUUCCAGAUAUCCAAACCGUCUAUGCAAAUGUCUGUGCUGAAACAAAUCGCCAAGAAGCUAUGUUACAUGGAGCAUCAAAUGAAGGGGCUGCUAUGAUUGCAAAAAAAUCCUCUAAAAAAGGAAUUCGCAAGUGUACUUACUGCAAUGGUGAUAAUCACUUGGUCGAAACCUGCUUCAAACUUCAUGGAUAUCCUGAAUGGCACCCUAAAGGCAAAUCUGGAUCAAAGAUAGAGAGCUCCAAAAAUAAUUUAGCGCCUACUACUGCUGCCGGUCUUAUGGCCAAGUCAGGUAUAUCUAACUCUGCCUAUAGUUCUUCUGUUCUUACUAGGACCAGCGAUUGGAUAAUUGAUACAGGUGCCACUGAUCAUAUGACUUGUGACCGUUCCAAGUUCACAAACUUGUCAUCUAAUAAUUCCAAACCUGUUAUUGCUAAUGCAAAUGGCAUUUCUUCCCCAGUUACAGGAGUGGGUACUGUUCUUAUAUCACCCUCCUUAUCCGUUUCUAAUGUCUUGUUUGUUCCUUCACUAAAUUGCAAUCUCCUCUCAGUCAGCCAAUUAACCAAGUCUCACAAUUGUGUUGUCAUAUUCUUUCCAACUCAUUGUGUCUUACAGAAUAUCCAUACCAAGGAGAAGAUUGGCAGUGGUAAAAGGAGUGGAGAUUUGUACUAUCUAGAAGGUGACUUUCAGCACACAAAUGGAGAAGUUCGGGCCCACCUUAUGAGUGACACCUUGCAGAAUAAAAAUAAAGAAACAAUUUGGCUAUGGCAUAGGCGAUUAGGACAUCCUUCUUUUGGUUAUCUUAGGAAAUUAUUUCCAUCACUGUUUUAUAAUUAUAAUCCUUCAGAUUUCAAUUGCGAAACAUGUAUAAUGGCCAAAAGCCAUCGAGCCAUCUUCCCCUUGAAUAAUACUAAGGUUAAUACACCUUUCUCCCUUAUACAUACUGAUGUUUGGGGCCCCGCCCCACUACCCACUCAUAAUGGAAUGAGAUGGUUUGUUACCUUUGUUGAUGAUUGCACGAGGAUGACUUGGGUAUAUUUGCUAAAACAUAAGAGUGAUGUGUGUAAAGUCUUCCUUCUUUUUCAUAAAAUGGUCAAUGUUCAAUUUCAGGCUAACAUAAAAGUUGUUAGAUCUGAUAAUGGGGGGGAAUAUUUUCAGCAGGAAUUAAAAAAUUUCAUGGAUUCUUCUGGCAUUCUCCAUCAUACAUCAUGCCCUAACACCCCCCAGCAGAAUGGAGUUGCUGAGCGGAAAAAUAGGCAUUUAUUAGAGGUUACUAGAUCAUUGCUAAUUGGUGGAAAUGUUCCAUCCUACCUCUGGGGAGAAGCCGUAAGUUCUGCUGUUUAUUUAAUCAAUCGUAUUCCCUCGAGUGCUCUAAAUUUCAGGAGACCAUUAGAUGUUUUUUCUGACCAUUGCACUUUACCUCCAAUUGCACAUUUAGAACCCCGCACCUUUGGUUGCGUCAUAUAUAUCCACUUGCAUUCACACCAACGUAGCAAACUUGAACCACGAGCCAUGAAAUGUGUAUUUGUAGGGUAUAGUAUGACACAAAAAGGAUAUCGAGCUUAUCACCCAACAUCAAGACGAUUUUAUGUCUCGAUGGAUGUUACAUUCCAUGAACAAGACUUAUUUUACUCUACAGGAGUUACUUGUUCUUUACUUCAGAGGGGGAAUGAGAAUGAUGAAGUGCAGAAUCGCAACAUCCAAGAUAUAAUAUUACUUGAUAUGGUAGCUAAAGUUGUACCCAAUGUAACUUCUACCGAGUCCAUUGAGUGUUCAACUGAAAUUCAGAACAAUGAUGGUACAAGACAUCCCACUCCAAUACCACUGAUCCAAUCUACACCAGAAAAUUCACUUGAGGUAUCAUCUGAUCAUGAACUUACUAUGCAUGAAACUGAUAUUGCUGAAAUUCUUGAUACACCCAGUCCUACUCCAAGUUCUACUCCUGUUAUAUCUAAUCUCCAUGAGAACACUUGUGCAUCUGAUUCUACCUCUAUUGUGAGUCAAUACCAUCUUCCAUCUCGUUCUAACCGUGGACAACCUCCAAUCAGGUAUGAACCCGAUCUAAAAUCCAAGGCCAAAUACCCCAUAGGAAAUCAUGUGUCAUCCCACAAGUUGUCCAGAUCAUAUGCAUUGUUUGUAUCUCAAUUAUCUGCUGUCUCUAUUCCUAGUAAUUUACAGGAAGCUCUAGCAGACUCUAGAUGGACCCAGGCUAUGGAAGAAGAGAUGGCAGCAUUAAAAAGGAAUACUACUUGGGAACUUGUCCCAUUACCAACAGGAAAGAAAACUGUAGGAUGUCGGUGGAUAUUCACUGUCAAGUAUAAAGCUGAUGGAACUAUUGAGAGAUACAAAGCCCGGUUAGUUGCAAAGGGCUAUACUCAAUCCUAUGGACUAGAUUAUCAAGAGACAUUUGCACCAGUUGCAAAACUCAAUACUGUGAGAGUGCUAUUGUCAUUGGCAGCAAAUCAAAAUUGGCCACUACUCCAAUUUGACGUUAAAAAUGCUUUUUUACAUGGAGAAUUGAGUGAAGAGGUUUAUAUGGAUCCUCCUCCAGGCAUACCAGAAUACUUGAAUACUCCUAUGGUAUGUAGAUUAAAAAAGGCUCUCUAUGGGUUGAAGCAGUCUCCAAGAGCUUGGUUUGGCAGAUUUACCAAGUCAAUGAAGAACUUCGGCUAUAAACAAAGUAAUUCAGAUCACACCCUCUUCCUAAGGCAAAGACAAGGUAAAAUUACUGCCUUGAUUAUCUAUGUUGAUGAUAUGAUUGUAACAGGAGAUGAUUAUGAGGGUAUUUCUAGUUUACAAAAUCAUUUGGCUUCUGAAUUUGAGAUGAAACAACUUGGAGACUUAAAAUAUUUUCUAGGAAUUGAAGUAGCUCGAUCAAAACAUGGCAUCUUCUUAUCUCAAAGAAAAUACACUAUGGAUUUGUUAUCUGAGACAGGUAUGCUUGGGUGCAAACCGGCUGACACUCCCAUGGAACAAAAUCACAAGUAUUUUUUAUGCUCAAGUGCAGUUAGUACUGACAAAGGGAGGUAUCAGAGGCUUGUUGGGAGGUUGAUUUAUUUGACACAUACCAGACCCGACAUAGCAUACGCAGUAAAUGUUGUGAGUCAGUUUAUGCAUGACCCACGAAAACCUCAUAUGGAUGCAGUAGAAAGAAUAUUGAGGUACCUAAAAUCUACUCCAGGCAAAGGAAUAUUGUUUUCAAACCACGGACAUCUCAAGGUAGAAGGCUACACUGAUGCUGAUUGGGCAGGUUCAGCUGACAAUAGAAGAUCCACUUCAGGAUAUCUUACCUUUGUAGGAGGAAAUCUUGUAACCUGGAGAAGUAAAAAACAACCUGUAGUAGCAAGGUCUAGUGCUGAGGCAGAAUUUAGAGGUAUGGCAUUUGGAUUAUGUGAAUUGUUGUGGCUUAAGAAUUUACUAAAGGAGCUGGGAUUUGGACAAAAUGAAGCCAUGAAACUUCACUGUGACAAUACCUCAGCAAUAGAAAUUGCCCAUAAUCCUGUCCAACAUGACAGAACUAAGCAUGUAGAAAUUGACCGCCAUUUUAUUAAAGAGAAACUUGAAGCGGGGAUUAUUACUUUUCCAUUUGUAAGGUCUGAACAUCAACUAGCAGAUGUCCUUACCAAAGCAGUAGCUGGUAGUGUUCUGGAUGAUUCCAUUGUCAAGUUGGGAAUGUGUGAUAUCCAUGCACCAACUUGAGAGGGGGUGUUGAAAAUAAGGUUGUUAUGCAGUUUCAAGUUGUUAUGCAGUUUCAGCAUAUAUUUCUCCUAUUCCUUUGUAACUAUUCCUUCCAGUUGUAUCUCCUAUAAUUGUGGAGAUAAUAAUGAUAGGAAUUUUAUGUAUAUAUAUCUUGUAUGUUAUCAAUAGAAGGAUGAAUGGGAAUUAUUCUAGAAACCUUUUUAAUAAUUUUUAUGCAUUUCUAUUCAGGUUCCUAGUUAGUUCAAUUUCAUAUUUCAGAGCCCAUUUCCUACAAAAUUGAUAUUUUGUAUAACAUGGUAUCAUAACUAAUUCUAAACUCUUUCAUUCUAUGAGAUCGUGCGUGCAAUUCCCACUUUAACACAUGCAUUUUUAUAUCCGUCGUGCGCGUAUAGGUUAUAUCUCUAUCUUAUAUCUCAUCUCAUCUAUUAAUACAUGAGUGGAAUGUUAAUAUAUAUAUAUUUUUGGACCUAUUUUUUACUAUAUUAAUUAAUUACGUAACUAGGAGUGUUAACAUAUUUAUAGAUCUGUUUUUUAUUAGAUCAUUUUUUUUGGGUAAUAAGAUAUAUUGCAUUAGUAUAUUUGACGAUCUCAUCUAUUAAUUUCAUACGCUUUUUAUAUCUAUCAUGCACGCGAGUAAAAAUAUUUUUUUCGAGAGAUAGGUAGCACGCUACCCGUUUCGUUUAUUUCAUUUAGAAAUAAACUUAGCUGGAAAUAUAAAUCAACUAGGAUUCGAACUUGGGACCUCGGGUACAACCAUCAUGUAGGGGUGUAAACGAGCCGAACACGAGCGAGCUAACCCCAGCUCGUGCUCGACUCGUUUAAUAAACGAGCCGAAAAAUUCGGCUCGCGUUCGGCUUGUUAAUACGGCUCGUUUAUUAACGAACCGAACACGAGCUAGCUCACGAGCUGGCCAACAAACAAUAAAUUAAAAAUGAUUAGAUUAAAUAUAUAUAAAAAAUAAAUUUAUCAAAUCUUACCUAUUAGACUUUAAUCUAAUAGUUGAAACUUUAUAUAUAAAUGAAUCUUUUUAUAAUUAAGGUCGCAUUUAUAUUUUUAUUUUGCUAAAAAUAAAAUAAUAAAAAUAUAUAUUAUAUAUAAUUAUUUAUUUAUAUAUAAAAAUAUAAAUUAAAUAUAAAAUAUAUGUAUUAAUAUAAAUUAUGAUAAUUAAAUAUAAAUUAUAUAAAAAUAAUAAAUUAAAUAAUUAUAUAAAUAUAAAAUAUAUGUAUUCGAGCUAUUAUCGAGCCGAACACGAGGCGAUGCUGACCCCAGCUCCGUAUUCGCUCGUUUAUUAACCGAUCUCGAGUUUAUUUCAAGCCAACACGAGCCGGCUCGAAACAGGCUGGAUUGCCACCGCUACCACCAUGCCUUUGCCAUGCGAGUAAAAGUGUUAAUAUAGAUUUUUGACCUAUUUCCUAUUAAUCAAAUCUUUUAUAGGAGGGGGUGGGGGGGGGGUUGGGCUUAAGUAAUACUAUGCCUAAGGCCAGCCCAAAAAAAUGUUGGGCUUUGGGUCAGGCUUUUACCUUUUUUUAAAAUAUGGCUCGGUCCAAGCCCAAACUCAAGCCCAAUAACCAAUACCCAUCGGGAUUUGUGGAGGCUCAUUUUAUACAUUUAUUAUAUAAUACAUAAAUACUUUUAUUAUAUAAAAUUAAAAUAAAAUACCUAUUUUUAUUGGGUUUGAUCAUAUCAAAGAAAAUUAGUAACUAACAUCAAAUAUAAUACCAUUAAUGUCUACCGAUAAUUAUCCACCUGUGUAAGAUAGGAACUUCUCAUGUAAGGGUAAAAAUAUAGAACGUUAAUUAAUUAGCGUAUAUGUGGUUUUAUAAAAGAGUAUUCUGGUAUUUAAAAUUUUAAAAUUAUCCUUAAGUUAUGUACAUAGAACAUCUAAUUAAUUUUUUUGAAAAUUUUAAAAUAAUAUAUAUUUAUUAAGUGUUAUGUACAUAACUAAUUAGCUAUAUAUAAUAAUAUGUACCAUACCAUAUAUUUAUUCAUAAAUAUGUAUAAUUAAUUUAUAUAUAAUAAUACUAUUUAAUAUAUCAUAAUAUGAAACUAAAUAUUUUGUUAAUAUAUAAUACAUCCUCAUAUAUAUAAAUAUAUAUCAUUAAUAACAAUAUAUACUAUGAUAUAUUAUAUCAUUUAUUUUUUUAUUGAUAAAUACUAUAUAUAUAAUUAAAUAUUUUAUUUUGAUAAUUAAUAUAUCAGGUUUUUGGGCCAGGCUCAGGCUGGGUUUGGACAUGCCCAAAUAAGCUUAAAACUUUUUCGUGCCUAAAUUUUUAAACCUGGCCCGAAUCCAAAGUUAUGUUUUUAAUACCCAAAGCUCCGCCCAAAUACGACAGUCCCAAUUCCACCGCUACUUUUAGGUAACAAAAUAUAUUACUUAUCUAUAUUUGGCGUCCGUGUUCAUAUGAAUUUCUGGACCCGUUUAGGGAUGUCAACAAGUCAAAUUCAGGGUAGAUUUUCAAAAAUCUAAAUCCGAACCCGACUCCCAACCCAAAAUCCGAAUCCGAAUCCGAACCCGAACCCGAACCUGUCGAAUUUUAAAAAUUCAUAUCCAAACCCAAACCCAAUCAAAAAUCCGAAACCUGAACCCGAAAAUCCGAACCCAAAAUAAUUAUUUCUCUUUUUAAUAUUUCAAAAUAUAUUUUAUUAAAUCUAAAUUUUUAAAAUAUAAAUUCAAAUAUAACAUCAAAUUUUUAUAUAUAUAUUAUAUAUAAUGUAAAAUAAAUUUGGGUUUGGAUCGGAUUCGGAUCGGGUUCGGGUUUGAGUCGGGUACAGUCAAAACCCGUAUCCAAAUUCAUAUCUGUCGAGUUUUGUUUUUAAUAUAAAUAUCCGAAACCAUAUCCGUUUAGCAUUUUGGAUAAAUCCACUCCGUUCAGGUUCCGGUAAAUUUUCGGAUAUUUGUACUCAUUGACAUCUCUAGACUGUUUUCUCCUCCAUCAAAUUUUUGAGUAACAAGAUAUAUUACUUUACUAUUUCUAAAAUAUAAAAUAAAACUAUAAAAUAACAAUACAGUAAAAUUACGCUAAACAAACAAAGAGGCUUAUCUAAAGCUCAAUUGACAACCUGAUCGGCAGCCUCAUUGACUUUCCCCCUGAGAUCUUCUGCUGUCUUCUUCAGCUCGCUAGAUGCAUCUUUGAUGUUCUUGUGGGUCUCCUUAGCCUCCUUCUCUGCGCUCGCCUAAUAAUAAAUAAAGAAAAAUUCAAAUUAAAAAAUUAAUUAUUUCUCAACAAAAAUAGUCGUAAAAUCUGCGUAUUUUUUUUCCCUUUUUUUCAAGCAAUUAUAUAUAUAUAUUUCUUCUACUUAGGCAUUACAUAGAAAUGUACUGAGAUGUGCUAAAUUUGCAAUAUUAUGUUUAAAACAAUAAUAAUGAAUAGAAAUUUUUUGUUUGAAUGAGUUGUGAUAGAUAUGUCAUAUUUUUGGACUCGCUCACCUGCAGAGGCCGUGUAACCGCGGUAAAAAAAGUCCUCGGAUUCCGCGCGAUUACUCUAACCAUGGUUGAGCCAAAAUUUAUCAACUUGGGAGUGGCUACACUAAAAGCCAUACCCCUCCCUCUCUCUCUCUCUCUCUCUCUCUCUCUCUCUCUCUCUCUACCCUUUUUUGAAUCUUUUGCUUGCUUUUUUUUUUUAAAAAAAAAUUUUAGUUUUAGACAAAAACCCCACAACUUAUUGUAGGGAGAAAGGGGGAGGAAUAACUGAAUUGCCACGUGGCACCAAGUGGAGAGGUGUGAGUGGUGGGUCCGGUUCCUGCGGCUCCAUUGGUUGGUUGGUGCCUUGACUUUUUCCAUCAAUCUUUUUAAAUUGUUUUAAAAAAUAAAUAAAUUGGGGGGAAAAAUUGUCUUUGCAAUUAGGCAUGCAAAUGAAUUCGGGCUUGUGGGGCUCCCGCUCUGAUCCGCUAGGAAUGAAGUGGUAACUGGUAAGUAAAAACCAAAUAUAUGAAAAAAUAAAAUUCGUCUUGAAUCCGGUUUGAUUAGGAAUGUAAAAUGGGUCGGGCGACCCACGAAAGUGGGCCGGGCGUAGGCACGACAUGGGUACGUUAGAACCCGUGCCGGGCCGGCCUGAUCGUGCUGGACCAAUAAAAUUGAGCCCGUCGACCGUUACGAGCCUAGGCAGUGCCGUGCCGAUAGUUUAGCAUACGACCCGGCACGACACGACCCACAUGGGCCGUGCCUGUCGGGCCAGCACGACGCGGCCCUGGCCCCAACUCCCCAAGCUGAACAUUGGGACUUGGGUCUCCAACUCUAGCUCCCCGAGUCCCAUGGGAGAGGAAAUGAAGAGCUUAGGACCCUAGAUCCUCCUUCGUAGAGGAAAUUUUUAAAUAAUUUUUCAAAAUUAUUUAAAUUUUAGUAUUCUCUAAAUAUUUUAAUAAAUUUUAUCUCUUAGCCAACAAAUUAGCAAAAAAUGACUUUUAUUUUUUUAUUUUUGAAAAUUUUAUAUAUUUAAAAAAUAUAAAAAAUAUUAGAGGGUUGGCCCGGAGCCCUGCCUGGCCUGUGACAUCCGGGCUGGAGGGUCAUGCUGGGCCGACAAUCCAUAAAAUCUGGCUCGGCAUUAGCACGGCCCAAAUUUUAAUUGGGCCGGGCCGGGCUGAACCUUGGCCCGAUCGGCACGGCCCACAUUACACCCCUAGGUUCGAUCCACCAAGAAAAUGAAGCAGAAGGUGGGGGACUCCCUUCUUCCUUUGAUUCGUCGCGAUCUACUUCAAAUGGAGCGGUGAAUGAAGGUAAAAAAUAGGAUAAAAAUUAACCCAUUUCAAAUCAGUCCCAACCCCACAAGAAAUGAUGCGAGAGGUGGAAAAACUCUUCUGCCUAGAGGUCCGCAUUGUUUGCAAAUCUUUUUAUACUUUUAACCUAAAUACUUUAGUUCAUAAAUAUAAAAAAUAAUAUAUAAUUUUGGUAAACCUGUAUAAAACUUAUUUGAACUACAGGUUAUUUUGAUUCGACUGUCCAAUCUUUUAAAAUUUUGAUUUAGUAUCGAGAUUUAAAUAAUAAUGGCUCUUCAAAUGCAAAAUUUAAUUAAGCACCCCACCACCCCCAUUGUAUUUAUAUAUACAUAUACAUAUACAUAUAUUAAAAAAAAGAAAAACUUCAAAUACCAUCCUAUGGUUUCGCACUUUUUUACUUUAGUAUUAUGUGGUUUAAAGUGUAUCAAUUUAAUAUUCUGUGGUUUCACAUUUUUUUUUUUUCGCCGGCUCCUCUAUUAAUAUUUCAUUAAAUUAUAUAUAUAUAAAACUUUAUAUACCUUAUCUAAGUUUAUCGAAUAUUUAUUUUAGUACUUUUUAUUUUUAACUUUGUCACUGAUUUUUUUUUCCUCCGUUAAUAUUUCAUUAAAUUAUAUACAAAAAAACUUCCAAUACCCUACCUAGGUUUAUCGAAUAUUUACUUUAGUACUCUUUAUUUUUAAUUUUGUCACUAAUUUUUUUUUCCUUUGUUAAUAUUUCGUUAAAUUAUAUACAAAAAACUUCAGAUACCCUAUCUAGGUUUAUCGAAUAUUCAGUUUAGUAUCCUUUAAUUUAAACUUUGUCGCUGAUUUGACGAAAAAGAUUAGUGAAAUAAAUAAUAAAAAGAGAAAAAUGAAAUCAUAGGAUACUAACUUGAUACACUUUAAACCAUAGGGUACUAAAGUGAGAAAGUGCGAAACCAUAGGGACUAAUUUGAUACACUUUAAAUUAUAAAGUACUAAAGUGAUAAAAUGUCAAACAACACCAGGGUAUUUGAAGUUUAUCCCCCAAAAAAAAGAAAAAAAAAAAAAAGCCCCAUGCAUGCUAUUUUAUCAAGAUAUGCACGGAUCACGACGCUUCCGGAAGAAGCACUUUUUCUCCUCCGCUCGGUGACGUCGAAGCGCUUCCUCUUGAAGCUCUCGGGGCCCCAAUAACCUCCCCCCCUUAUAUAAUCCCCCAUCCCCUCCCCUCCCCCGCCCCUCUUCUUCCCCUUCCCCCUCGCCGGAGCGAUGGCGGAGAACGGCGGUGCGCCACCGCGAGGGGCGGCGGAGGCGUCGUCGCCGACCUCCGCAGGAGCCGUAGCCGACGGCGGCGGCGGCGGCGCAGCCCUCGACGACCUCGCCAACCACCGAUUCAUAUGCUGCGUCUGCUUGUGAGUUCCCCUCUCCCCCCACCUCCUCCGGUUCCGCACCGGAUUUCCUCGAUUUGAGAUGGAUCGUGUGAUCUCAGUGCGAUGUCGGCGUGAUACGGACGAUUUUUAGGGCUAAAAUUUGACCCGUGCAAUUUCGUUGAAGCGAUCCCCGUUCUAAUCGGGAUGCUUCUAGGGCGAAGAUUUGAUCCGUGCGAUUUCUUUCGAUGCGCUUGUUGUCUUCAACUAGGGUUUCUUUAGUUGAAUUGGGGGGAUUGGAAUAAACAAUUUUAGAAUCGUAGCAUGACCGGAUGUUGACUAGUUCUCCGAUGCACAUAGCUUUGCAGAAUAAUCAUAUGGUAUUUUAGGCUGUUUUCGUCGACUAGAGGGCUGUAAUUUGAACAAAAUGUGAUCUAGCUAGACUCUUCAACAACCUUUUAAUUACAGCAAUAGAUUAUCUUGGUCUGCAUAUGUCAUUGUUGACUAAUUAAUUUAUUCUUUUUUAUUUUUUCAAUUGAUGUAUAGUUUCCCACUCUGUCAAUGCACAAUGAUGCUCGUCGUAGGGAAAUAAAGGAAAAUAAAGGAAAAUUAUAACUGCAAUAUAUGCGAGCAGCUAAUGAAGUAUAAUAUGCAACUUCGUAGGUUGAAAAUUGAACAAACUAGAAUGAAAGAAUUGUUGACUAACCAGUGAUCUAAAAUGUGGUAUGCGGUAUGUGGGCAGUCGAUCCAUUGCAUAGUGCAUAUGCUGUAUGUUGGUGCAUAUGCAGGCGUAUAUACGGUUCAUCUAUUAAAUUUUUUUUAAAAAAAUCAUAUAUAAAUGUAAAAAAUAACUAAUAUAUAUAUAUAUUUAAGAAUAGGAACAAACGUGGAAUAAAUUGGCUAAACUUUUGUGAAGAAUAAUAGUUUUUUUUUUUUCACGAGGUGGUAUUCACGAUCCCUUGUAGUCAUCUAAUAGGCCAAAUUGCCACUUAACAAAGAUCUAGCAUUAUAACAUCUAACAAGUACAAACAUAUUCGCCAAUAUUUAUAAACGUAAUUAGUUGAUAUAUUAGGAAUAAUAGCAACUAAAAUAAGAAGAGAGAUAGUUGGUAAUGGGUUAUAUUUAAAAGAAGAUAAGUACAGUUAUAUGCAUCAUAUUAACCAAAAUUGUAUAAAAAUAGUCAUAUGUAUAUGUAUAAUCUUUGACCAAACAUUUCUAUUCAACAUUGCAUUUCAAUCCUACCUUUAAAACAAAAAAGAAAAGAAAGAAAGGAAAACUACCACGUAUAUGGUAUGACUGUAUACUGUAGUGCACAUAUGCGGUGCAGUUGAUGGUCCCACCGCAUAUGCAGCCGCAUUGGCCGCUUUUUGGAACAAUGGGACUAAUGAAUCAAAGAUAAAUGUUACAUCUUGUUGCAGAAAUUAAUUACGGAGAUUUAUGGUUUAUGUAGAAAAUUUGCUGCUGUGUUAGAACUAUGCCAGAAGGAUGCAUGCAAAAGAAGCAUGUGUUCAAGGUCAUAAAGGAAACAGAAGACUAUUUGCUGAUGUGAAAGAAAGUGUUCCAUGCAAAUUGGAAGUCUAAACAAUCUCGCGUGGUAUAGAAGAUCAACCAUUUAUAGUUGCACAAUCUUGUGGGACUUGCUAAUUGUGCAUAAGGAAUAUACCAAAUGACUACAAAUUGGACUACAAGCUGAACUUCAUAAAAAUGACUACAAAUUGGACUACAAGCUGAACUUCGCAAAUUCCUUCUAGGUAAUUGAGUUAUUCUUCUUCCAAACUGACUUUCAAAAAGAAUAAACAUAUGAGGUCUUGGAAAUAUAAAAUGACGACUCACAUGAAUUUUGUAAUGCACAAGAUACUUGAAAGAACCAAUAGUCAAAAGUGAAUCAAUUGAAGACAUGGGCUUUAGCAGACAUGCUUUUUAUUGAGCUACAAUCCUUUAAUUAUUAUUUUAAUCACUACAUGGAUUUGUACAAGAGCAAGUCUUUUUAUUCUGCAUUACACUAUUAAAUCAAAGACUUUAGACAACCAUUUAAACUGAAGUUGUUCUCUGCAUUUAUGUAAGAGCGAGUGUUUUUAAUCUGUAUUCCACUGUUCAAUUAAAGUCUCUAGACAACCAUUUAAAAAUGAAGUUAUUCUUCAGCUGUCCUGCUUCCACUCUUUUGGUGUAUUUGAAAUCUAUUUUGUUUUGUCUUAUGGUCCUUUUUGUUUUUAUCUCUUUACGUUUCUGUUAUUCAUAACUGUAGUUCUUUGAUUUUGUAGGGAUCUUAUCUACAAGCCAGUUGUUCUUGGUAAGAGAGGACCAUUUCAACUCAACGUUUAGAAGAUUCCAUUAUUCUAUAGAAUAAUCUGCUGUUUUUCACUGCAGCAUGUGGUCAUAUUUCUUGCUUCUGGUGUGUACAUAAAGCCAUGCAUGGUGUGCAAGAAUCACAUUGUGCUUUAUGCAGGAAGCCAUAUAUUCAUUUUCCUAGUAUUUGUCAAUUACUCCAUCAAUUGCUUUUAAACUUGGAACCUGCUGCAUACAAAAGAAGGGAAAAGGAGGUGCUAGGUGAGUUCUAACAUCUGAGUACCAAAUGCAUAAAAACUUCAGGCUAUAAAUGUGAUAUGCCUUCCAAACCUCAUACUAUUUGAAGAAAUGAUUGACACAUAUAUGUACCGUGUAGACAUGUGAAUGUCCUUAUCCUAGUAAACAGAUGUAGAUUAUGGUAUGGCAAUAAAUGAAUUCAACUGCUUUGGUAUAUAUAGCUACAGAAUACUAACUGCUUAUGCUCAGGAUGCAUCCAAAGGUUGAGGGACACAUAAAUUAUUUUGCACAGAAUGUCGAUGAAACAAUCACAAUGAGAUGACAAAUUAGUGGUCUUAUUUACGAGCAUAAGUAGCUAUAACAAUUUAUUCUUCACAAACAUCCAUGGAUCUUCUAGUGGUUAAAAUGAAAAAUCAUCCUAAUCUACUUCCGAUUGAUCCUUCCCCAAGUUUGUACUAGAAAUAUUAUCAUUUCACGCUAGUCUCCUCCAUCGCUUCGUAAAGACCAGAAAAUUGACCAGAAAAUUGAGCUUAAUUAAGGGCAAAACUAUUAAACUUGUCUAUAAUUUUCUUGCUCAGCAUAUUGCAUUUACCAAAUGCAUUUAGGGGCAGUUUGGUUUGAUGUUAUUGCAAAUGCAUUGUAAUCAAGGAUGCAUGUAGUUGAAAAUGCAGCAAUUACAACCGUGUGCAUCUUGUUUAGUUGGAUGUAGUAGAAAAAUAUUGCAACUAUAGAUAAUAUGUUAGGUUGCAUGAAGUUGAGAAGUGUAUUUACAAAAUUUUAUCACUUUAUAUAUAGGGUGGUCAGCAAGGAUUUAAGUGCCCAUUAGCACGGGCGUAUCUAUCGUGCCAACAAGAUAUCGGCACGAUACAGCCUACAUGCCUCGUGCCGAUGGCACGACUCAAAACUCUCUUUUCUUUAAAUUAGUAUAUAAUUUUCUCUAUAAAAUUUAAAAGAUUUGAUAAAGAUACAUAAUAAGCAAUUAGAAUAUUUUGUUGUUAAAUUAAACGAAUACAUUAUGUGUUAGCACACUUAUAUUUUUUGUGACCGGGACUCAUUGGCACGACUCACGGCAAUUAAAUCCUUGGUGGUGAGAUCACCCCCAAUGUAAAAGAAAAAAUAUUUUUUGUUUAGAAGGUGACUAGGAGGCAGGCUUAUCUUUUGUUUUAAGUUACUUUCUCCAACUACUAGAGUUGGAAUUGCAGCUAAUUUGGGAAUAGUUCACUGUUGCAGUUGAUCCUCCUUGUGCAGUUUCAACUGUAGCAGCGGAAUUUAAAUGCAUCAAACUCAGCACCUAAUUUUGAUCUGCAUGCAAUUACAACUACAGUGCAGUUACAACUAUAUGCAACCAAACAGUCCCUUAAUUCCUUUAUUUCAUCUCAUUUCUCUCAUCCAACUAAGAAUAAGUGUUCUGGUGCAAUUUAUGUUGAUCCAAGAUCAGUAAUUUAUACCAGCUUGCAACUCUUGCUUUCCUUAUAUCAAAUUAACGUUUUCCAUACAUUCACUUUCUUGAUAAUUACCUUCUUCAUUUUGCACACUUUAAAUGUUACUUAUUUUUGUCUUGUUAAAUCUAUAUUCUAGAGGAAGAAAAGCGACUUAAGGUCUACUCACCUCAGUUUGUAGAUCGUCUAAUCUCCAAAGAGACUCACUCUGGUAAGAAUCUUGUCUUAGCAUUGCUGAACCGGAAUAAUUAUGUCUCUUAAUAAUUGCAACACGUUGUAUUUCGUUGAUAAGUUCACCUGUAUUCUGUAAGCGAAUGGCAAUUGUAAGGAUACAUUUGGAGCCAGGAGCAGUACAGCUGCAAAAGAGCCGAGUGCUACAGAACAUGACCUAGUUGAUGAUGCAUCAUUUCCCUUGUCCAAGAGAGUUUCCACAGAUGAUGUAUUAAAGAAAGUUUCUGUGGAUGAUGUAUUAUGCUCCAUAUGCAAGGCGCUGCUUUAUAGACCUGCUGUUCUUAAUUGUGGCCAUGGUGAGUAUUUUUGUGCUUUCCAUGGUCGGUUGCUCGCUAAAAAUUCAGGAAAAAGAAAAAUGCCGACAAUUAUUUGAUUUUUUUAAUUGUGCAGUCUAUUGUGAAAAUUGUCUACUAAGCUUGAUUGGUGAAGAAUUAAAAUGUCAAAUUUGCCAAAGCCCACAUCCCGGUGGGUUUCCGAAUGUUUGCUUGUAUCUGGAUAAUUUCUUGGAAGAAACAUUCCCCGUGGAAUAUGCAUCAAGGAAAGAGAAAGUUAAGCUCAAAAAGAUCCAAUAUCACCAAGGAGAUUCAUCAUCUAGUAAGCUUUUAAUGCUACAUCUUCAGGAGUUGUACUUCUGGGUUUAUUCUAGUUGUUCGGACUUCAGUAACAAUGUAUCAUAGCUGUAUACAUCUUACCCCCUUUUCUUUUUACGCAGACCAUUGGUUUUGUCUUAUCGCCAUUUGUUUUGCCUUAUCACUUAUCCAUAGUUAUGGUUUAUGAUAACAGAUGCUGCUUUUUGCUGUGGGCAAUCUUUGAAGCUCACUAAUUAAUAAGAAUCAUGCCUCUAAUAACUCCUUUGUGAUUGCAAUAUGCUUAGUCUAUCUAUUAGGCUUGCAAAAUAGUAACAUAUUAGGCCGACCAGGUGAAAUUUCUAUUUAAUUACUUUGCAUUAUUACGUCAGAAUCAUAUCACAGUAUGAGUUGGUGGACAGAUUAAUGUUGGUUUAACUUUGACCCUUUUUGUGACUUCUAGGUGCUGAGCCAGCAAAAAAGCAAGAGAGCAAACCUUUUCAGUUCAGCAAUAUAUGGCUGAAUGAAAAUGCGGCAAAUAUUCAUGCAGGAGUUGGCUGCGAUUCAUGCGGGGUAUGGUCUUUGAUAGUUCAUUUCUUUUCCCAGUAGUAAGAUUACCAAUUGUAAGAUUAUGAUUUGAGACCUUCUGCCGUCUUUAAAUCCAUCUAGAGAGGAAAAAAAAGGACAAUUUUUUCAAAUUCGGCUAACUUUAACUGACGUGCCACCAUCUUUCAACUUAGUAAACAAAACCAAGAGAUUGUUUACAAACCCUUUAAAAGAUAUUUUAUCUUUCCGUCCAGGUUUAUCCAAUUAUUGGGAAGCGGUACAAAUGCGAGGAUUGCAAAGAGGCAAUUGGCUUUGACCUAUGUGAAGAAUGCUACAAAAGCUGCUCAAAUCUUCCUGGCCGAUUCAAUCAGCAACACACUCAGGAUCACAAGUUUGUUCUCGAUGACUCGCGUACGUUCCAAAGGAUUCUGUGGUUGGCGAGGGGAGCAGGCGAUCACCUGCAAGUUGUCGAGGAAGGAGAACACUUGGUUCAUGUCGAUUUAGAGUUAGAAGCUCCGGAAUAUCUCGAGCCCAGGCCGGAGAGCGACGGAGAUGAUGACGACGGAACAAGACAAGACAGAUCAGGUUCUCUAUGAUUCCGAUGUUUACUCGUAUUUAGUAUAUGCUUUUAUGCUUAUCUUAUCUCGAAUACCGAUAGGUAAUACCAUGAGCUUGGUAAGUUUGCAUGGUGGUAUAAUCUGCAUCGUCAAUGCUCAUGCGAUAUACCAUUCUCAAAAGUUAAAAGUUGUAUUUUCGAAAUAAGAUUUCUUUUCUGGGGGAGGAUGAAACAUGUUUUUGUGCUUGUUUGUUUGUUUUUAUGUGAGCAUUAUUCAAUGCGAGAAUCAUUUAUGAUGAUUUGAACAAAGAUUGCUUCAAAGAAAAAUCUUUAUGAUGGGGAGAUAUGGUGAUGAUGAUUGUAGUGAGAGAAAUGGUAAUCAAUGGUUUAGGAUGGGCGUAGAAAAUUGCGGCCGUGGCGGCGGGGGCAGCAAAAGUGAUACUUAGUAGUGGUGAAGAAAGCGAUAGCGAUAACGAUAGCGGCGACGGUGGUGGCGGUGGCAAAUUUGGUCUCCGUGGUGGAGGAAUUUUUUUCUUUCUUUUUUUUUUUCCUUUUCAUCAAAAGUGCUGUUAGCAAAGGCAUUAUAUUAGCAGAGAUAUACUAAUAUUAACUUUGGGAAAGCAAAAGUUUUUGCUUUUUAGAUUUGCUAAGCUUUUUAUUGUAAAUAACUGUAGUUAAAAAUAGAAGCAAUAGUUGAACAAAGUCCCAGUUUUUUUGUUGUUUUUCUUCACCAAAUAAUCAGCUGCUGAUUGAGAUGCGGUUGUACGGCCGUGGCUGAAGCAGUAAAAACUUCAAAAACCGAGUCUACUCCCACUCUACUCCCACUGUCGUCUUGAAGAGACUCUUCAACUUUGACUCUUUCGUCUCUGUUGUUUAUUAUCAGCAAAAUGCAUCAGAAUUAAAUCCUUUUUCUAAAAGAAACUUGCAAUUUUGACCUAGCGGAACGCGUAAUAGCAUGCUAUUUAAUUUGUUUAUUUAUCCAUAAGUAAAUUUAGGUAAAAGUAUGAAGACUUUGGAUAUCAGUCUUAAGUCUUUUUGUCUGUUGUUGAACAACUUUUUAAUCAUACUUUCUUGGAAAGCUUCAAAUACCAUUCUAGUAAUUUCGCACUUUUUCACUUCAGUGUUCUGUGGUUUAAAGUGUAUCACUUUCGCAUCUUGUGAUUUUUUUUUCUUUUUGUUAUCCCUUUCAUUAAUUUUUUUUUUUUAAAUUAGUGAUAAAGUUAAAACUAAAAUGUACUAAAGUGAAUAUUCGAUAAAUUAUAAAUGAGGUAUCGAAAGAUUUUUAUAUGUGAUUUAACGAAAAAUUAACGGAAGGACUGACGAAAAGAAAAAAAUAAAAUUAUAAGGUACUAAAUUAAUAUAUUUUAAAAUAUAGAAUAUUAAAGUAAGAAAGUGCGAAACUACGGAGGUGGUAUGUGAAGUUUAUACUUACUUUUUAUAAGCAAGUAGUUUUAUUAUUAUCUGUGAUUAGAUCUUCAUUUAUCAUCUAUAUGGGUUCUCCUUAAUAAUAAUAAGAUUAGUUUGGAUGUACGGAAAAAAGUGAUUUUUUUCUGUAUAACACUGUAGAGUAACUGUGCCCCGCAUCAUCAUGCACGAGCCACGAAGAGGGGGAGGGGGUAUACUCAUUUUUAUUUGUCUUUUCUACUUGGAGACUCUCUCUCUCUCUCUCUCUCUCUCUCUAUACGUUUGGACGUGUAAUGAGCAAACAAAUUAACGUGACAGGAUCGAAGGAAAAAAUGGGAAGGUGUUCAUACUUCAUUCCAAGUGGAACAAAAAUCAAUUAAGGGCCGUUGGAUAUCGAGCUCAUCUGACGUUAAUAAAUAAAAUAAAAUUUUAAAAAAUAUAAAUAUGAUUUUGUGUUCUUUUAAUGGAAUGUAAAAAAUAUAUGGCAAUCAAUUCUUUAGAAUAUGCGGAACGUAAUAUUUCGUGGUAUUUUUUUAUUGCACAAAAUCUAUUCUUUCCGUAAUCUAAAUAUAUCUCAUUUUUUUGAGAGAGAUAGGUAGCACGUUAUCCGUUUCGUUUAUUUUAUUUAAAAAUAAACUUAGCUGAAAAUGUGAAUCAACUAGGAUUCGAACUUAGGAUCUCUGGUACCAACCACCAAGUCCUUUGCCACUUGCUCUAGCGACGGUCUAUAUUAUCACCAAAUAUUAAGGGGUUGUUUGGUUGCAUGUAGUUGCAACUGUACAGCAGUUGUAACUGCAUGCAAAUGCAAAUUCGGUGUUUGGUUUGAUGUAUUUAACUCCAAUUGCUGCAGUAGGAACUACAGAAAGAGGUCCAACUGCAACAGUCGGAACUACGCCCAUAUUGGCCGCAAUUCCAACUACAGCAGUUGGAAAGUGUAACUUUAAACAAAAGAUAGCCUUAACCCUUUAAAUAUAUAUAUAUAUAUAUAUAUUGAGAGAAAGGUAGCUUGCUAUCCGCUUUGUUUAUUUCAUUUAGAAAUAAACUUAGUUGGAAAUGUGAAUCAAUUAGGAUUCGAACUUGGGUCUUGGGUACCAACCAUCAAACCCUUUUGCCACUUGCGUUAGGGACAGUCAGUCUCUUUAGAUAUUUUUUAAACAAAAAAAAAAAAAAAUUUACAUUGGAGGUAAUCUCACCAUCAUAUAUAUAAAAUGAUAAAAUUUUAAAAAUUAUUUCUCAACUGCUUGCAACCAAACAUAUUAUUUAUAGUUGCAGCGCUUUCUACUACAUCCAACCAAACGUUCAAACAUGAUGCAUAUAGUUGUAACUGCUGCAUUUCUAACUGCAUGUAUUUCUAAUUAUAUUGUAUUUGUAAUUACAUCUAGCCAAGCGGCACCUAAGAGAGAGAGAAAGGAAAUACUAGCUACACCACCCAAAAAAUGAUUCUCUGGUGAUCCAAUACGCUAUAACAUCAUCUUGCCCUCAUCAAACCUUUUUAAAAAAUUCACAAAAAAAAUUGUAUCAUCUUUUUAACUUGUAAUUAUUAAAUUAAUUGUUAGGAUUUGGUUAGAUUUGUAAAUUAAUUCUAAUUGGAUAAGAAUUAAUAUUUAAAUCUGUUGGAGAUAAAUUAAGAUUUAAAUAUUAAUUAGAAUAUGAAUCUAACUAGAUUAAGAUAAUAUUUAAAUCUAUUGGAGGUAAAUUAAGAUUUAAAUAUUUAUUAGAGUAGAAAUUCUAAAUAUAUUAGAAUUCUGGUACGUUUUGAUGUAAGUUUUAUAAAUAGCUUCAUUGGUGGAGAGCUUGAGUAGUAUGGCCAAAUUGAGAUUCUUGAGAGGGUACGGUAAGAUGUCUUGAAGCCAUUGGUGGACUGUACCAAAGUUUGGCUAUGAGUUGCAUGCAUCUAGUGCACAGGUGCAUGUGAGAGAGAAAAAGUGAAGGAUUGUCUUCUUUGUGAGUUUAUAGAAGACGAGAGAAGAGUAAAAGAGAUUCAGAAAAACGGCUUGAGUUGUAGUUACUCAGUUGCAGAAGAGGAGUCAUGUAUUUGUUUUUUUUUUUCUUUCGUGAUUGUAUCAGUUUUUGCUGAAGAGAUGGAUUUAUGAUAAAAACCCGAUUUGAUGCUUCCGUUGCGGAAUCCUAACAAUCAGUACCAGAUCCACAGCAGUCGGUAUCGGAGCGAGUUGCAGACUCUCAAAAUCUAGUACCGGGGCACGUAUCGGAUUCCAAACAUUAACUUAGAUUACAUGCCCCAAGAAUUUAUAUUACUUGCUAUAAAUUAUUUUUUGAGAGAAAUGUAGCGAGCUAUCCGUUUCAUUUAUUUUUUCUUUUUGAAAAAUAAAUUCAACUAAAAAUAUGAAAUAAUUAGGUUUUAAAUUUAGAGACUUCAUAUACCAACCAUCAAAAACCUUUACCAACUGUGAUAAGUACGGUCGUUUACUUUUAAGAGGUCCAUGUAGCAUAAAGUGGUAAGAGAGUACGCCAAAUUCUUGUUUAUUUCCUAUUUUACCCUCGCUGGGGUGGUCAUUAUAAACUGUUAUCUAUUAGAUUUAGAAUUCAGUAACAAGUAUCAGAGCCAAUUCUAAUCUCUCGCCCUGAGGUCAUAGAAACAAACCAAAUUGUCUUAAAGUAAACAACUUAACAUAAUAAUGCAAUGCCUAUUGAAUAUUGAUUCUCAAUCUUAUUGCACAGGUUGCACUUUGUGCUCAAACCUUGAUUUGUUGUUCUCAAUUUAUUCUUCACAUUAGGUUUCACCCCUUUUUUUUAUUUGAAUUAGACCAGGGGUUAAAUAGCAUGAAAUGACUUUUGGGGAUUUUCUUAACGCCCAACUUAGUAUGUGGCAAUAACACCAAAUGUAACACUUCUAGAAUCUGAAAUAGUUCUAUAUAUGAAAUGUAAGAGAACUAAACCUCUUAAUCCAGUUGUAAUAUUUUGGAUAGUGAUUAAGUCCAAAAGAUUAAGAUAGUUCAGCGUUUUAUGGCUAAAGGACUUCUAGGAUGAGUGACUCUUCUGGAAGGCAGAGUAUCACAGUUAAUAUCAAAGCCAAUCACCAGUCGAAAGUAUGAGGAGAAUUUCAACUGAGCUAUGGUCAUAUAGUGGGUAUAGCACGGCUAGCUCCCUGGCUGAUAAUUGUUGUGGACAAAGUGUGGCUCCUUGGUACUAGCGAGACAAGUUUUACGUCGCCUGAUGCUUGUAAGUGUCUAAGAGGCUAAGCCCAAAAGAUUAUAAGAGUUAAGCGUAUUAAAGUUAGAAUAAUUCUAGAAUGGAUGAUCCUUUUAAGAAGUGAGGUGUCAUACCAAAUUAUCCUUCAAUCAAAUACAAAAAUCUAUAUAACAACAAAUUUUAACUUCACCAAAUCAUUUCUAACGCAAGUGACAAAAGAUUUAAUAAAUGAUACUCGAGGCCGCAAGUUCAAAAGUUUAGUUACUUUUCAUGCAUGUUCAGCUAAUUUUAUUAAAAAACAAUGAAGCAAGCGGAUAAUAUACUAUCUCUUUCACAAAAAAUAAAAUUUGACGCCAACU